rnacentral:rRNA from 1 species
GAUGAACGCUAGCUACAGGCUUAACACAUGCAAGUCGAGGGGAAACGAUAUUGGAAGCUUGCUUCCGAUAGGCGUCGACCGGCGCACGGGUGAGUAACGCGUAUCCAACCUGCCCACCACUUGGGGAUAACCUUGCGAAAGUAAGACUAAUACCCAAUGACGUCUCUAGAAGACAUCUGAAAGAGAUUAAAGAUUUAUCGGUGAUGGAUGGGGAUGCGUCUGAUUAGCUGGUUGGCGGGGUAACGGCCAACCAAGGCGACGAUCAGUAGGGGCUCUGAGAGGAAGGUCCCCCACAUUGGAACUGAGACACGGUCCAAACUCCUACGGGAGGCAGCAGUGAGGAAUAUUGGUCAAUGGGCGAGAGCCUGAACCAGCCAAGUAGCGUGCAGGAUGACGGCCCUAUGGGUUGUAAACUGCUUUUAUAAGGGAAUAAAGUGAGUCUCGUGAGACUUUUUGCAUGUACCUUAUGAAUAAGGACCGGCUAAUUCCGUGCCAGCAGCCGCCGUAA